GCGCUCACUUCAGUAGUACAUAUACUAGAAUUGAAACAAUACAGAGAAGAUCAACAUGGCCCCUGGGUAAGGGUGACUUAAAAUUUGUGAAGUGUUCCAUAUUUUU
ensembl:snRNA U6 U6 spliceosomal RNA